rnacentral:tRNA from 1 species
GUUUAACUAGUAUAGUUUGUACACUUUCCUUCCAAGAAAAAAGACCCUAAUAGGGGUUAAAUA